GUCUAUGACCUUACCAUCCUGAACACUCCCGGUCUCAUCUGAUCUCAGAAGCUAAGCUGGGUUGGACCUGGUUAGUACUUGGAUGGGAGAUACCUUCAGGCACCAGUGGGCUCAGCCU
rnacentral:rRNA from 1 species